rnacentral:rRNA from 1 species
UUGGUGUUACUGCGAAGGGGGGACGGAGAAGGCUAUGUUAGCCGGGCGACGGUUGUCCCGGUUUAAGCAUGUAGGCUGGUUAUCCAGGCAAAUCCGGAUAAUCAAGGCUGAGGUGUGAUGACGAAGCACUACGGUGCUGAAGUAACAAAUGCCCUGCUUCCAGGAAAAGCCUCUAAGCAUCAGGUAACAUCAAAUCGUACCCCAAACCGACACAGGUGGUCAGGUAGAGAAUACCAAGGCGCUUGAGAGAACUCGGGUGAAGGAACUAGGCAAAAUGGUGCCGUAACUUCGGGAGAAGGCACGCUGGUGUGUAGGUGAAG